rnacentral:rRNA from 1 species
UAAUACGAAGGGGGCUAGCGUUGUUCGGAAUUACUGGGCGUAAAGCGCGCGUAGGCGGUUAGUCUAGUCAGGCGUGAAAUCCCGGGGCUCAACCCCGGAACUGCGCUUGAUACUGGCUUACUAGAGGUCUGGAGAGGGUAGUGGAAUUCCAAGUGUAGAGGUGAAAUUCGUAGAUAUUGGGAAGAACACCAGCGGCGAAGGCGGCUACCUGGACAGAUACUGACGCUGAGGUGCGAAAGCGUGGGGAGCGAACAGGAUUAGAUACCCUGGUAGUCCACGCCGUAAACGAUGAGUGCUAAGUGU